rnacentral:rRNA from 18 species
UCCCCUAGUAGCGGCGAGCGAACGGGGACCAGCCGAGCAAUGAGUGUGACAAGAACAACCUGGAAAGGUUGGCCAUAGUGGGUGACAGCCCCGUAUUGGAAGCACGAUUUGACGUAUUAAGUAGGGCGGAACACGUGAAAUUCUGUCUGAACAUCGGGGGACCACCCUCGAAGGCUAAGUACUCCUUACUGACCGAUAGCGAA